rnacentral:rRNA from 1 species
GAUGAACGCUAGCGGGAGGCUUAAUACAUGCAAGUCGAGGGGCAGCAUGGGACUUCGGUCCUGAUGGCGACCGGCGCACGGGUGAGUAACGCGUACACAACCUACCUUUAAGCGGGGGAUAGCCUAUGGAAACGUAGAUUAAUACCGCAUAAUAUUACCAGAUAGCAUUUGAAGGUAAUUAAAGCUUCGGCGCUUAAAGAUGGGUGUGCGUCCCAUUAGCUAGUUGGUAAGGUAACGGCUUACCAAGGCGACGAUGGGUAGGGGGCGUGAGAGCGUGACCCCCCACACGGGUACUGAGACACGGACCCGACUCCUACGGGAGGCAGCAGUAAGGAAUAUUGGACAAUGGGGGCAACCCUGAUCCAGCCAUCCCGCGUGAAUGAUGAAGGCCCUCUGGGUCGUAAAAUUCUUUUAUCAGGGAAGAACCGCAUCUACGUGUAGGUGUUUGACGGUACCUGAGGAAUAAGCACCGGCUAACUCCG